ACAACCAGCGAGGGGUGCCUCCAGCGUAUGAGCUGCUCCCAUGUUCAUCAUGCUGGUCGCUGAGAUUAUACCCUUAAUUACCUGAUCCGGGUCAUACCGGCGGAGGGACUGCUGUAGUUCAUGCUU
rnacentral:ncRNA from 1 species